CCUACGGGAGGCAGCAGUAGGGAAUAUUCCUCAAUGGGCGAAACCCUGAAGCAGCAACGCCGCGUGGAGGAUGAAGGUUUUCGGAUUGUAAACUCCUUUUGUUAGAGAAGAAAAUGACGGUAUCUAACGAAUAAGCACCGGCUAACUCCGUGCCAGCAGCCGCGGUAAUACGGAGGGUGCACGCGUUACUUGGAAUCACUGGGCGUAAAGCGCGCGUAGGCGGGUUAGCAAGUCAGAUGUGAAGGCCUAUGGCUUAACCAUAGAAGUUCAUUUGAAACUGUUAUUCUAGAGUAUGGGAGAGGUAGGUGGAAUUCUUGGUGUAGCGGUAAAAUGCGUAGAGAUAAAGAGGAAUACUCAUUGCGAAGGCGACCUGCUAGAACAUAACUGACGCUGAUGCGCGAAAGCGUGGGGAGCAAACAGGAUUAGAUAUCCUUGUAGUC
rnacentral:rRNA from 1 species